UCCUGUUUUUUUCUUCUUCUUCGAUUGUGCAAUCAAUUUUAGUUUUGGUUUAGAGAUAUACAUCGAUUAUGCUAGUGAUUUUUUAUUAUCUUGCUAUUUAUAUAUAGGUUUGUCACCUGUGAACGAUAAAUUGUUUUUUUUUUUUUUAUAAAAAAAAGUUUUUGUUUUCAGUUAAAUGUUGUACUUUCUCAUCAGCCCUUUGGUCGAUAUCUAAAUGCACGACAAGCGCGCUCCAUCAAUUUUUUUUGUGAGUUAACAAUGAACAUAGAAAAGGGUAACUUAAAAUCGCAAAAUUUUCGGCUGAUUUUAUAAUUUGGCUCAAAAUUUCCGUAUUAAAGUUUUCUCGUAGCUAAGGUUGGCUUGCUGAAUGCUUCUUGCAAAGUCAUAUAUA